rnacentral:lncRNA from 1 species
AAAAAAAAAAUCUCUCUUACACAGACUACUCAUCUUCAUUUUAUAUCUCCUAAACCGCCACUCCCGUAGAAAGAGAAUACAAUACUGAACACUCAUCUUCCUCUCCCCAACACUCAACACUCAGCACACAAAAAGGGUCAGAAUCCAUCUCUCAAUUUUGCCCGACAAUCCAUCUUCUUCAAGCCAACCCGCAACCAGCCAAAUCCCCGACCGCCUCCAAUAAAAGCCUUCACCAUCCCUCAUCACUGUGCACAGCCUCCCACGGCAACCACCUCUCUCUCGCAAUGCCGACAGCAGCAAUAGUAACAACGUCGUUCAUUCUAUUUCCUCCAGUCGACCAACAACUCUUCCUACUCCAUCCCCAACGUCGGCAACAUCUCCACCAGCCGAAUAGAUCAACCAUGGAAACCUAAUCCACGAACCACCAGUAGCUGCGGCUAUCUCCUCUGAGCUGACCGACGGCCAAACGCGCCUUCUUCCUCCCACUUCAGCUCACGACCAACACCAGUCUCCACUAGCCACCAGUGAUCGGGAGAGUUUAUAUUUUAAAUAAUGAUAGGGAGAGUUUUUAUUUUUUUAUUGAUUUAUUACUAUCUUUUUGCAGUACUGUGUUUGAUAGUAAAUUUAUAGUGUCUUCGUUUAAGAGGCGCCUCAUGAAAAGUAUAAAAUACAUGCUUUGCGUGAGGUACACAGCAAACACAUUUUUAGUACUUUUGCUCAUGCGCAGGCGAAUCUCAUCUUUUGGCGCGCAACAAACACUCUUAAAACACAAGAUUAUGUGCCAAAAAGAUUACUUUACCUUCCGAGUCGGCGAAUCUCCUUCGCAUAUCAAGGAUUAAUAUGGGCGUGGCCACCUCUUGCUGGGUCGUUUCUGGUUCAUUUCAAAAUUAUUUCUAUCUCAUUGUGAGUUUAUGUCUAAAAUCAUUCCAUAUACCUGAUGUAGAUCAAUUUAAAAAUCAGUUUGCUUACGAGUUUGGUUUAAAAACAAUUUCUAGUUUGUUGCAAUAUCAUUUCUAUUCGAUGUAGAUCCAUUUUCAAAAUGCAUUCAUAUUUGUUAUGGAUUAGUUUUCUCUCGUUGCGAGAUUGUUUAUUUAUUAUCAGAUGUAGAUUUGUUUUCAAAACCAUUUUGGAAUCAAUCUUAACUCAUUGCAAGUUUGGUUCUAAAAUCAUUUCUAACUCGUUACGAGUUCGUCUC